rnacentral:rRNA from 1 species
UACGUAGGGUGCGAGCGUUGUCCGGAAUUAUUGGGCGUAAAGAGCUCGUAGGCGGCUUGUCGCGUCGGAUGUGAAAGCCCGGGGCUUAACUCCGGGUCUGCAUUCGAUACGGGCAGGCUAGAGUUCGGUAGGGGAGAUCGGAAUUCCUGGUGUAGCGGUGAAAUGCGCAGAUAUCAGGAGGAACACCGGUGGCGAAGGCGGAUCUCUGGGCCGAUACUGACGCUGAGGAGCGAAAGAGUGGGGAGCGAACAGG